UGCAGUCGAGCGCGGGAAGCAGGCAGAUCCUCUUCGGAGGUGACGCCUGUGGAACGAGCGGCGGACGGGUGAGUAACACGUGGGCAACCUGCCUGUAAGACUGGGAUAACCCCGGGAAACCGGGGCUAAUACCGGAUAAUACUUUUCGUUGCAUAACGAGAAGUUGAAAGGCGGCUUUUAGCUGUCACUUACAGAUGGGCCCGCGGCGCAUUAGCUAGUUGGUAAGGUAACGGCUUACCAAGGCGACGAUGCGUAGCCGACCUGAGAGGGUGAUCGGCCACACUGGGACUGAGACACGGCCCAGACUCCUACGGGAGGCAGCAGUAGGGAAUCUUCCGCAAUGGACGAAAGUCUGACGGAGCAACGCCGCGUGAGUGAUGAAGGUUUUCGGAUCGUAAAACUCUGUUGUCAGGGAAGAACAAGUGCCGUUCGAAUAGGGCGGCACCUUGACGGUACCUGACCAGAAAGCCCCGGCUAACUACGUGCCAGCAGCCGCGGUAAUACGUAGGGGGCAAGCGUUGUCCGGAAUUAUUGGGCGUAAAGCGCGCGCAGGCGGUCCUUUAAGUCUGAUGUGAAAGCCCACGGCUUAACCGUGGAGGGCCAUUGGAAACUGGAGGACUUGAGUACAGAAGAGGAGAGUGGAAUUCCACGUGUAGCGGUGAAAUGCGUAGAGAUGUGGAGGAACACCAGUGGCGAAGGCGACUCUCUGGUCUGUAACUGACGCUGAGGUGCGAAAGCGUGGGGAGCGAACAGGAUUAGAUACCCUGGUAGUCCACGCCGUAAACGAUGAGUGCUAGGUGUUAGGGGGUUUCCGCCCCUUAGUGCUGAAGUUAACGCAUUAAGCACUCCGCCUGGGGAGUACGGCCGCAAGGCUGAAACUCAAAAGAAUUGACGGGGGCCCGCACAAGCGGUGGAGCAUGUGGUUUAAUUCGAAGCAACGCGAAGAACCUUACCAGGUCUUGACAUCCUCUGCCAAUCCUAGAGAUAGGAUGUUCCCUUCGGGGACAGAGUGACAGGUGG
rnacentral:rRNA from 1 species